AAUUAGCUCUUAGCCAACUCUGGUGCAAUCAUGUGAUUGUACGUUGUCCCUGUCAAAUAAACAAUAAAGUGAAGUAAUACUUCAGACUCAGUGAAAGU